AUUGAACGCUGGCGGCAUGCCUUACACAUGCAAGUCGAACGGCAGCACGGGGCAACCUGGUGGCGAGUGGCGAACGGGUGAGUAAUGCAUCGGAACGUGCCAUUGAGUGGGGGAUAACGUAGCGAAAGUUGCGCUAAUACCGCAUAUUCUGUGAGCAGGAAAGCAGGGGACCGCAAGGCCUUGCGCUCUUUGAGCGGCCGAUGUCAGAUUAGCUAGUUGGUGAGGUAACGGCUUACCAAGGCGACGAUCUGUAGCGGGUCUGAGAGGAUGAUCCGCCACACUGGAACUGAGACACGGUCCAGACUCCUACGGAGGCAGCAGUGGGAAUUUUGGACAAUGGCGUCAAGCCUGAUCCAGCCAUGCCGCGUGA
rnacentral:rRNA from 1 species